AUUGAACGCUGGCGGCAGGCCUAACACAUGCAAGUCGAGCGGAUGAAGGGAGCUUGCUCCUGGAUUCAGCGGCGGACGGGUGAGUAAUGCUUAGGAAUCUGCCUGGUAGUGGGGGAUAACGUCCGGAAACGGGCGCUAAUACCGCAUACGUCCUGAGGGAGAAAGUGGGGGAUCUUCGGGCCUCACGCUAUCAGAUGAGCCUAGGUCGGAUUAGCUAGUUGGUGAGGUAAAGGCCUACCAAGGCGACGAUCCGUAACUGGUCUGAGAGGAUGAUCAGUCACACUGGAACUGAGACACGGUCCAGACUCCUACGGGAGGCAGCAGUGGGGAAUAUUGGACAAUGGGCGAAAGCCUGAUCCAGCCAUGCCGCGUGUGUGAAGAAGGUCUUCGGAUUGUAAAGCACUUUAAGUUGGGAGGAAGGGCAGUAAGUUAAUACCUUGCUGUUUUGACGUUACCAACAGAAUAAGCACCGGCUAACUUCGU
rnacentral:rRNA from 1 species